AGAGGGGCGGUAGUGUAGUGGUUAUCGCGCAGUACGUCGAAAACGGCGACCUAAAUUCGAUUCUCGCUCGCGGCCACCAACACCAGUGACGAUCAUCUGACCCGGACCUGGGCCUCCCCUAGGUCGACUCAGCCUCAAAUUAGUACAGUGCAUAAUGCAAUGUGUAAACAUCGCCACUGGGGAGACCAAAGGCGACCGGGCGUGGUGCUGGCACACCCGCCCCUUCGUGUCCCGUGCCGUCCUGCAUUGGCGCUCGCUUACAGCACUUGCCCCAACGGUGUGUCGAGGCUAAACGGGGAACCUUUGUCUUUGCCUACAUGCACAAUACUGUACAACACAUCCGUAUCGAUUUAGCAUCGGGGCUUUCUCAAAACAGGACUCAGCCAUCGCGGAAAGGACACAGCGCUUAAAGUCGAUGGAAGUUUAGCCAUAACCUCUCCCUGUCGACGGCCCAUGAACAUCUUUCCUCCGUCAUCAUCGUCACCACCACCAUCGCCACCAACGCCAUCUCCCGCGGUGAUGCUAACCCAUUCGAGCCACGGGCACCAAGCGGCUCCGAAUCGCGUUUCCAAGCCGAGGAAGAAGAGUAAGGAGCGGCCUCGGCAGAGGAUGGCGAAUCACGGCAAGGAGAAGUGGAUCCGCCUGCUCACGGUGUUCGGAUACGUGCUGUCGGUGUCGCUGGCCGCUGUGUUCCUCGCCAUAUACUACACGCUCAUCUGGAAGCCCGUGCUGAACACGACAAACUCUAACGCGACUUCAGCACCACGGACAGCAGCUUCUGCGAGCAACAGCAACAACAGCGGUGGUUACAAUGCCAUUCCGGGCCACGCCGUGGAUACGUAAGGCCGUUCAUUCGUUCUGUUAUCUACUCGCGCAUGGUGAUUUUCUUGAGCCGCCUUACAAGAUGUAAGGAGGUUCGUUUUUUUUGGGCCAGUACUAAGCUUGCAAAAAAAAACAUAUAUAUAGAUUAGCGUUGCUCUGUGUUAGUGUUUCAGCCUUGCCCCAUUGUUAUUCAUGUGUAUGGACAGCCCGUAUGUCAAACCAUUGCCUGGUGAGAGUCUCCUCCUCAAGCCGAACGGAUCGUUGCGAGUUACUGGACGCAGGUCAGUUCCAGCAUGGUGAAGGCCUGGUUAUGAAGAAAGUAAAUCAAGUGUGCUACGUAAGGAAUGAACGGCGCAUCUUCCACGGCAGGAAUUGAUGGCGACAUUUAAGUCGAGCCUCUUUAUUUUUGUGUCCAACAACAACAAUUACAAUCGCGCGUAUUCAUUAGAGAUUAUAUAACCUGUGAAAGUCAUUUGAAGGGUCUAGUUUUCACAGGCGUCCUGAAGCAAUCGAUAUAAACACAUCAAGCUUAUACACUUUUUAUAAUUUAAUUGGCUUUAGUCAUUCUAAUUUUUCAAAUCACAAUUAGGAUUUGCAUCGUCAUGGAAUAGCAAAGACAUGGUUACACACAAGAAACGAGAGCCAAAGUCUUUUCUUUUUUUUUUCACGGAGCCACAACAGCCAGCUCUGAGCGGUGCUCAGCUUCGGUACCGGAUUCUCGUGAAAUUCCACGUUCCUAUGGCGAGGACCAGUAAUGUGCUCGUUUGACAAACGCGAACUGUCGACUCCUCGAAGCAGCGCGACAAGCGGUGUUUGACGGCAACGACGACGAAGAGGGCAAUGCCGUCCGCGUCCACUCUCGCGGAGUUCCCGGACACUUACACUUGAAGUUUUGAGCCUUUGGUGGAAAAUCCACGUUGCUAUGGCAAGGACAGCUUUACAAAUCAACACAACGACCGUUUGUUGGCUUGCAACACCUCGUCACGCACACCCUUCGAGCGGUGCUCAUUUUACUGACAGAUGGAUGACGAUGAUGAUGGUCGUGGAGCUGAUUUGACGGUGAACGCGGGAAUUUAACUAAUUUUCUCGAGGAUUGAAACCGCAACUGCUCCACUCCGGCCACGCUGAUGAAUUUAAAACUGGAGGAAGAUUGCUUAAACAAGAUGUUAACGGCAAAAAAUAAUGUUGGCGUGCAUUGAUGUUGCAUUACAUGACGUGAAAUGCUCAAACAUUCAUUUUUUCCCCUUUCGCUGGAACGAGCAUCAAGGUGGAUGCGCAUGUGAGCUACGUUUUACUCCACGAAUGGAUGAUUGGAAAUCCAGCAACAGAACAGGAUAAGAAAACUAAACUUUGAAAAAAUAUUCUUUGGGUAUUUUGGUAUAGUCACGUAGAUAGGUUGAAGGUAGAUAGGUUUAAGGUUGAAGUCACGUAAAUAGGUUGAACCUAUAGGUUGAACCUAUCUGCGUGACUUUACCCAAAGACCCAAAGAAUAUGAAUUCCUGCAGUCACGAAAGCUUUAAGUUAAGAUAAAAAAAAAAUUGCUGCGCUAUGCAAUGGUGGUUUAUACGGAAACAUGCUGUUGAAAGCCACGCGGGUUGUGAUGGGAAUGUCCCGGUAGUAACGAUUAGAAAGAAUGUGUUUUUGUCAAGCCUGUAAAAGGGACUGUUGAUUUUGUUCACCUCUCCUUGACAGAGAACGCAAUCCUCCGGCUGUUCAGCUCAUGUGUGCGACGUGCGUGACUGAAUUGAUGGCGUUCAUGACCUGCUUUCGCUUGAAGAGCUUUACAUCCGGGUGAAAUGACCUCCAUACCUGAGAAUAUAAUGUGUGAGUAAGGUGUAUCCCAGAUAUAGGCUGAGUAUGACUUUUUUCCUAAACCUCGGUAGUGCCCCUUAGAAGAUCUCAGGCUGAUAUAUUGAGGUCUUCCUUUCCUCUCUGACAGUCACAGUCGGAACCCAUUCUUAUUAUUCCAAGUUAACCUCAUCGUUCUUCAAUAUAUGCAUUUUUAUAUUUCAAAUCAUUCCAAAACUUGUACAUUCUAAAGUGCACAAUAAUACAUCCUCAAUAAACACUAUAGGUUCAAGGAUAGCCAGCGUCCGUUUAAAUAUUAUUUAACAUUAAUUAUUGCAUGUAAACUGAAGUCACGAUAGACACUGUGAUAUGCAUUCUAUGUACACGCACUGAUGCUCGGGGUGUAUAGUGUAAUAUUGGUUGCGUACAAUGGACGCGCUGUAGAUUUUAAUGCACUGCCGUGGGUGUCACCUAGCGUUUAUACACACACUAUGGCCUACACAACUCAGGCCUCCUUUAUUACUGUAUUCCAUCAUCACCUUUAUGAAUAGUGUAACCUUCCUGUAACGAUCCCACUUUGUGAGUUUCCCGUGUUCAAUGUCCGACUUUUGAAGUCUCUUAAAGUAUGCCCACUGACACACAAAUGCAGUCGUAAAUCAUCAUCAGCCAUGGUCAGUCCACCGUUGGAUGAAGGCCUCUCCAAUUGGUCACCGCCAUCACUCACAAUCCUGCCAUGUUAACGAUCCACCCAGCACGUGCACACAACCGUAUUUCACCGCUCCUUCAAUAGUGGAGGCCCUGCCACCAGCAUUGGCCUAAGCAAGUAAUUGCAGGGCUGUGCCCAUACCUUUUUAGCUAUUUGCCUAAGCUAGGUAGAACUUGCAUUCGUGGAUCUAAGCACUUCAAACAUUGUUAUUAAUCACAUUGUUCCCUAAAAAAAAAUCUGGCAUUACUUUAGUUAGAUGAAUAGUCUUACAAAGUUGGUAAAAGUUGAGGGAAUGUAGUCAUGAUCGUUUUGUGUUCGUGCGGCAAAAUCUAUUCAGUUAAAAUUCACUCGGUAGUUUUAAAGUCGUAAUAAUAACUGUUCUUGAGUGCCUUGAAAUAUUUAAACUAUAUUUAUUAUAUAUUCAACGUUAGGUAAUACGUGUGAUAACAAAUAGUUAUGUUUCUGAGGAUGUAUGUCUAACCUUUUCCCAUGCAUAUAUACACAAUACGAGGAAGCAUAACAGUAAGUAAUAUUGGUGAAUCUUCCAAGGUGAAUGUCGCCUAUGCAAGUUGAAAUAUUUUAAGGCGUUUAACAACACAUUUUUAAAAUGACUUAUUUCGAAAAAUAUUGUCAAUUGAAGAAAAAAAUCACAAUAACAAUUGAAUAGUUUUAAAUAUGUGUUUGUUCUAGUAUGCAUGUACCUUCUAUAGUGAACACUUGCAUUUAUCGAGCCAGCUAAAAGCAUUACGCUCUACAAAUGUGCAAUCAUUCGUCCGCAUUCGGUAUUACUACCAUAGCUCUCAGCGCAACAAAUACAAACCAAUUAAAAUA